GCUGUCACUUAUCUUUGUUUCUCCCUUCAAUCUCUGUCUUGACCUCAGCCACUCCAUUGUUUCUUUUAUUUAUUUAUUUUUGUCUGGAGGGGAUUGACAGAAUGCAAGUGGGUGUCUGCAAGUGCUGCUGUUUUCAUACCUUUUGUUCUGACUAGGACCGAUUUGACCGCCACCUCCUGCUGUGCCUUGGAAUCUCACUUGGAUUUCGGUUUUCUGUUGGUCUUUCUGAGGGGAGGUGCUCCAAAACUGCUUGGAUUUUAUUGUAUACAUGAGGAUUUUCUUUCUUUUUCUUUUUUUAUCCAAAGUGACAUGAAGAUCUUAAAUGGAUGUUUGUAGUAUUUCUACUGCUUUUUCAUCAAUGUUGAUUUUGGUCCAUUAUUCUUGAGUUAAAAGCUCUGGAAACAACACAACAGAGUCAAUUAUAACUGGGAGUCAUGUUAGAAAUACACUGUGGUGUUCUCUGCAGAAGAACAGGCAGGUGGCUGUGUUGUUUCAAGUUCAACUGAGACCAUGAAGAAAAUUUGGUCAAAGAAAAGAUUCCAGAGAGCUGGACACUCUAGCAGGACAUUUGGGAGUUUCACUCAUGUGAAGUUUUUCGCUUGUGCAGGAAGCAAAGCAAUGACUCAGAUCACACAGAGGAUGAAAGUGGAGAGCCUCGGGUGUCUAUGGAGAUGAAGGAACAGUCCACACCUCCUCAUGGGCAAGCAGUCGACAUUCAACUCACAAGCAGUGGAAGGACGGUGGUUUCCCAUAUCCCAUGUGACGGUCUAGUGGUGGAGAGGGAAUUGCGAGUUGUGGGUUCCAGAGCUCCUGCUUUUCAGGAUCCCUUGCCACCUGGCCUGCAAACAAAUGCUGCGUGUGUUGAAAGCCCUCCAGUCAGACACCUGGGGGUUGAGGCUCUCGUUCGGGCUUCACAAAUAAGUGUGUACUACCCCGCAGUGGGGUCAGAGGAGAGUAUGUCCUUAACCAGUGACUACUACGGUAGUGUUUUCAGCCUCUAUCGAAGAAGGACGUUUUCCAUUUACAGUGCUCAAGAUUAAAUGCUGGCACACUGGAAAUGUAAAGGACAAAAUAACUUGAAUUAAAGGGGCAAAUAAAAAAUUUGUAUUCAGUGUAGUACACCAUAAGUCUAAAGCGAUAUCUGUUGAAUCCUUUCCAUAAAAUGUGUUCAAUUAUUUUGGCCUUUCAUGUCAUUUUUAACGUUUUCGUUGAUUCCCUCUUUCUUUGAAUUCACUGCAAUUGCGUUUUGAUUUGAAAUAGUAAUGAAUACAAAAUGUGCCUUUUCCUUCACAAACCUUUUUGCAUGCCUUUCUAUCAUGACAUCCCUUUUGUGUUCAUUUUAUUUAUUCAAUUAAAUUACUCAAUUUAUAUAUUAAUGUAUUUAUUUCUUUAUAAUUUGUAUGCAGAUUUCAGUGAAUUACUUCAAUUUAUUUUGGUUUCGUUUUGUCUCUUAAUAAAAAUAACGCGCUAACCGCAGGAUAUGCAACCAUUUUGUCAUAAUGCAACUUUGCCCACAAUCACCCUCAUUUCUGUGGUAAAUUGGACUUUACUACAAGGGAAGCUUCCCCAGUUGUCCAAACCCGGCCAUUUCAAAAUGCUCAGAACACAGUCACCCCAAGUGAUCCAACAACAGAUUCAACAACAACUCACAAUGGCACCAAAACAUUCACGAAUCGAGCUGAGCUCCCUGUCAAAACCAAAUCUUCUACGUUAUCCAAAGUGGAGGCUCCCAAGAUGCAUCCUCCCUCCACACUCCAAAACUGUCAGACGCAAGUACCAUAAUCUCUGAAAAAGUGAGAGUUUUAAAGAACAGCACAGCCUUGACAUGCCAAAGGUGUAUUCAUCAAGACGCUCAUGGGGUUUCAAUCAAACAUCAUCGCGAAAUUCUGAGGAUGGAGAGAGUAAGGCAGGGAAUCCCAAAUACAACUCCAAGAGUGAAGUGGCACUCAAGAGGUCUUGCUUCAAGCAGACAGCAUCCUCUUUGGAUGAUUUUACUGCUCUGCUGCCACAGCUAUUGUACUGGGAAAAACAGACUGGAUUCGUUCAAUGAGUUGCCAACAUCAUGUUUAAAUGUAUAUCAGAACAGUUAUUUGUAACCAGAGACAGAUGAAAAGACAUGGUGAGAAUUUAAUUCAUUCUUGGUACACCGAGCAGCCAAACAUGAAAAGCACCUGCCUAAUAUUGUGUAGAUCCCCUCAUGCUGCCAAAACAGCGCAAACCUGCAUCUCAGAACAGCAUUCAGAGAUGAUAUUCUUCUCAACACGGUUGUACAGAGUGGUUAUCUGAGUUACCAUAGACUUUCUAUCAGUUCAAACCAGUCUGGCCAUUCUCUGUUGACCUCUCUCAUCAACAAGUGUUUCGGGUUGCGGGUUGACACUGAUUUGGCCCACGAGGGGGACCUACACAAUAUUAAGCAGGUGGUUUUAAUGUUGUUGCUGAUCGGUGUAUGUUACCUUAAGGUCACUUGGUCUUCCUAGAGGAUUCAUCAGAUGAUUCCUAGAUGUCUUCAGCGGAGGAUUCAGAGGACCCUUUGUUUGAACUUCCUAAAUACUGUGGCAGCUGCCGAAUCAGAUUUGCGUCUUCAAGGGAAACCCUGUCCCCCAAGGCAAGGCAUCUCAGACCCCUCUAACAACUAAGCUAUUAUUUAAAUGGCUUUUAAUUUGGUUCAUUAAAAACAUCUUUAGAUUUCAACAUUCAAACUUUCUUCAUUUUAGAAAGUAGAUUGGCAUUCUAUUGAUAUUUCAUUUUUAAACACCUCGAUCAAUAUCUUCUUAAGUUAAAUAUUUUUUGUAAAUAAUUUUAUCCUAACUAAAAUUCCAAUAUUAUCAUUAUUAUUUGCUAUAACUGUUGGUUAAACAAGUGAACACAAUAAUACCACACUGGAGAUUGAAGUGUCAGCUUUAUAAUUA